rnacentral:rRNA from 1 species
GAGGCCCUACGGGGCGCAGCAGGGGGGAAUAUUGCACAAUGGGGGGAAACCCUGAUGCAGCGACGCCGCGUGAGUGAAGAAGUAAUUCGUUAUGUAAAGCUCUAUCAGCAGGGAAGAAAAUGACGGUACCUGAGUAAGAAGCCCCGGCUAACUACGUGCCAGCAGCCGCGGUAAUACGUAGGGGCAAGCGUUAUCCGGAUUUACUGGGUGUAAAGGGCGUGUAGGCGGGACUGCAAGUCAGAUGUGAAAAUUAUGGGCUCAACCCAUAACCUGCAUUUGAAACUGUAGGUCUUGAGUGAUGGAGG